CUCUUAUCCAGAGAGGCGGAGGGACUGGCCCAAUGAAGCCCGACAACCGGCAUUCUCAUUCGAAUGCAUCGGUGUUAAUUCCAGCAGCGUUAGCUGAAAGAUAAGAG
rnacentral:ncRNA from 2 species